rnacentral:rRNA from 1 species
CCUACGGGUGGCAGCAGUGGGGGAUAUUGGACAAUGGGGGGAACCCUGAUCCAGCGAAGCCGCGUGAGUGAAGAAGUAUUUCGGUAUGUAAAGCUCUGUCAGCAGGGAAGAAAGCAAUGACGGUACCUGACCAAGAAGCCCCGGCUAACAACGUGCCAGCAGCCGCGGUAAUACGGAGGGGGCAAGCGUUAUCCGGAAUUACUGGGUGUAAAGGUAGCGUAGACGGCUGUGAAAGUCUGGAGUGAAAGGCCGGGGCCCAGCCCCCGGACUGCCCUGGAAACUGUAUGGCUGUAGUGCAGGAGAGGUAAGCGGAAUUCCUAGUGUAGCGGUGAAAUGCGUAGAUAUUACGAGGAACACCAGUGGCGAAGGCAGCUUACUGGACUGUAACUGACGUUGAGGCUCGAAAGCGUGGGGAGCAAACAGGAUUAGAUACCCGAGUAGUC